GCUCCUCUUCGCGUCUUCCUUCUCUUCCUUCCUGUGCCGCAGCCGCUCCCCUCUUCUUUCUCGUCGUCUCACAGCCGCUCCCUCUUCUUUCUCGUCGUCUCACAGCCGCUCCCUCUUCAGCCGCGUCGUCUCACAGCCGCUCCCUCCACUCCACCCGAGCAGUGCAGCCGCGAGCCUCCCGUUCCUCUCUUUCUCGCAAGGAAAUAAGAGCUCUAUUUCCUUCUGACUACAACCCAUUUUAUGCUGGAUUUGGGAACAGAGACACUGAUGAGCUCAGCUACAGGAAGAUUGGUAUACCAAAAGGAAAAAUAUUUAUUAUAAAGCCCAAGACAAACUUCCAAGGUCCCUCUCGAUGAAACACUCCUCUCCCUUUCCUCUCGAUUAAAGCUCUCAACCGCAGGCUGCGUCUCCCGUCUUCUUCUUCAACUGCAAUGCCACCUCCGAGCUCCCUCUCUUCUUCAAGCGCUGACCUGCGGAACGAAGGCGGUCCAGCCCUAUUCGCUGGUCGGUGUUCUCAUAUGAGGUCUUUGAAACAUCCUCUUCUCUCUUUCUUUGGCUAGGGCUCUGCGUCUGCCAUGGCCAACGCAGCUCUUAAUUCAAAAUGUCUUUCAUUGUGAUUUCUGGGCUGCAUCUGCUGCCGCCAAAGGCAAUUCAGUAUUUUUUCUGAAGCUCAUUUUCAAACUGCACUUUAGAAUGGCAAGGUCUCCAUGUGAUGUAUACCAGUAUAUUGGUUUAUGGUUGUAACGAUGCAUUUAGUGCAAGAUCCCAAGUUGACCUUGACUGCAUGUAUCUUGGAAUUUGUUCAGAAGUAAGUGAUUAAUAUACUGAGAAUUGCAGUUCGUAGGUUAGUGGGUGUUUUCUAAGGGUUGGCUUUUAGGUUUCCCUUGUUUGGUUUCUGGCAAAUUUUGAGGCCACAUGGUCUAUAGAGUAUAGACUGAUGUCAUGGUCAACAAGGGCUGCCUAAUUUUUAUCCUCAAUUAUGAGCGUUAGAUCUUGAAUGGCAUGAGCUAGAAAGUCCAACA